GGGCCCAUAGGAUAAAGGGGACACUACUGUUGACCAGGGCCCAUAGGAUAAAGGGGACACUACUGUUGACCAGGGCCCAUAGGAUAAAGGGGACACUACUGUUAACCAGGGCCCAUAGGGUAAAGGGGACACUACUGUUAACCAGGGCCCAUAGGGUAAAGGGGACACUACUGUUAACCAGGGCCCAUAGGAUAAAGGGGAUACUACUGUUAACCAGGGCCCAUAGGGUAAAGGCCGCCCUCUGGGACACAGCCAUUGUAUUAUCUAAUGUGGUUAUUAUUUUUCAAGAUCAAUUUCACCCUAACAGUGCGUAUAUCCCCCCCUCCCAUCCAUAGAGACUGGUAAAAAUCCACCAUGUCUUCAAGCCCCCCCCUCAUUGGACUAGACCAGGUUAUCCAGAUAUGAGACACUUCAUAAAAACUUUAGGACCAGUAGGUCCAACAGCAUUGUUCAGGAGGAGGUUCAGGAACAGUUUUAGGACCAACAGUAUCCAGCUUCAAGAGGAGGUUCAGGGCCAGUUUUAGGACCAGUAGGACCAACAGCAUUCUUCAGGAGGAGGUUCAGGGCCAGUUUUAGGUCCAACAGUAUCCAGCUUCAAGAGGAGAGUCUGGGCCAGUUUUAGGACCAACAGUAUCCAGCUUCAAGAGGAGGUUCAGGGCCAGUUUUAGGACCAACAGUAUCCAGCUUCAAGAGGAGGUUCAGGGCCAGGUUUAGAACCAGUAGGACCAACAGUAUCCUGCUUCAGGAGGAGGUUCAGGACCAGUUUUAGGACUAGUAGGACCAACAGCCUGCUUCAGGGCCAGUUUUAGGACCAGUAGGACCAACAGUAUCCUGCUUCAGGAGGAGGUUCAGGGCCAGUUUUAGGACCAGUAGGACCAACAGCCUGCUUCAGGAGGAGGUUCAGGGCCAGUUUUAGGACCAGUAGGACCAACAGCCUGCUUCAGGAGGAGGUUCAGGGCCAGUUUUAGGACCAGUAGGACCAACAGCCUGCUUCAGGAGGAGGUUCAGGGCCAGUUUUAGGACCAGUAGGACCAACAGUAUCCUGCUUCAGGAGGUGGUUCAGGGACAGUUUUAGGACCAGUAGGACCAACAGCCUGCUUCAGGAGGAGGUUCAGGGCCAGUUUUAGGACCAGUAGGACCAACAGCCUGCUUCAGGAGGAGGUUCAGGGCCAGUUUUAGGACCAGUAGGACCAACAGCAUUCUUCAGGAGGAGGUUCAGGGCCAGUUUUAGGUCCAACAGCCUUCUUCAAGAGGAGGUUCAGGGCCAGUUUUAGGACCAACAGCCUGCUUCAAGAGGAGGUUCAGGGCCAGUUUUAGGACCAGUAAGACCAACAGCAUUCUUCAGGAGGAGGUUCAGGGCCAGUUUUAGGACCAGUAGGACCAACAGCAUUCUUCAGGAGGAGGUUCAGGGCCAGUUUUAGGUCCAACAGUAUCCAGCUUCAAGAGGAGAGUCUGGGCCAGUUUUAGGACCAACAGUAUCCAGCUUCAAGAGGAGGUUCAGGGCCAGUUUUAGGACCAACAGUAUCCAGCUUCAAGAGGAGGUUCAGGGCCAGUUUUAGGACCAACAGUAUCCAGCUUCAAGAGGAGGUUCAGGGCCAGUUUUAGGUCCAACAGUAGCCAGCUUCAAGAGGAGAGUCUGGGCUAGUUUUAGGACCAGUAGGACCAACAGCCUGCUUCAGGAGGAGGUUCAGGGCCAGUUUUAGGACCAGUAGGACCAACAGUAUCCUGCUUCAGGAGGAGGUUCAGGGACAGUUUUAGGACCAGUAGGACCAACAGCCUGCUUCAGGAGGUGGUUCAGGGCCAGUUUUAGGACCAGUAGGACCAACAGCCUUCUUCAGGAUGAGGUUCAGGGCCAGUUUUAGGACCAACAGCCUUCUUCAGGAGGAGGUUCAGGGCCAGUUUUAGGACCAGUAGGACCAACAGCAUUCUUCAAGAGGAGGUUCAGGGCCAGUUUUAGGACCAGUAGGACCAACAGCAUUCUUCAGGAGGAGGUCAGGGCCAGUUUUAGGUCCAACAGUAGCCAGCUUCAAGAGGAGGUUCAGGGCCAGUUUUAGGACCAGUAGGACCAACAGUAUCCUGCUUCAGGAGGAGGUUCAGGGCCAGUUUUAGGACCAGUAGGACCAACAGUAUCCUGCUUCAGGAGGAGGUUCAGGGCCAGUUUUAGGACCAGUAGGACCAACAGUAUCCUGCUUCAGGAGGAGGUUCAGGGCCAGUUUUAGGACCAGUAGGACCAACAGCCUGCUUCAGGAGGAGGUUCAGGGCCAGUUUUAGGACCAGUAGGACCAACAGCCUGCUUCAGGAGGAGGUUCAGGGCCAGUUUUAGGACCAGUAGGACCAACAGUAUCCUGCUUCAGGAGGUGGUUCAGGGACAGUUUUAGGACCAGUAGGACCAACAGCCUGCUUCAGGAGGAGGUUCAGGGCCAGUUUUAGGACCAGUAGGACCAACAGCCUGCUUCAGGAGGAGGUUCAGGGCCAGUUUUAGGACCAGUAGGACCAACAGCCUGCUUCAGGAGGUGGUUCAGGGCCAGUUUUAGGACCAACAGUAUCCUGCUUCAGGAGGAGGUUCAGGGCCAGGUUUAGGACUAGUAGGACCAACAGUAGCCUGCUUCGGGAGGAGGUUCAGGGACAGUUUUAGGAGCAGUAGGACCAACAGUAUCCUGCUUCAGGAGGAGGUUCAGGGCCAGUUUUAGGACCAACAGUAUCCUGCUUAAGGAGGAGGUUCAGGGCCAGUUUUAGGACCAACAGUAUCCUGCUUCAGGAGGAGGUUCAGGGCCAGUUUUAGGACCAACAGUAUCCUGCUUAAGGAGGAGGUUCAGGGCCAAUUUUAGGACCAGUAGGACCAACAGCCUGCUUCAGGAGGAGGUUCAGGGCCAGUUUUAGGACCAGUAGGACCAACAUUAUCCUGCUUAAGGAGGAGGUUCAGGGCCAGUUUUAGGACCAACAGUAUCCUGCUUCAGGAGGUGGUUCAGGGCACCUUCUCAGUAGUAGUGGAGUGGAUCAGGUUCUGGUGAGGUGGGGGUCUUAACAUGGCUCCUCUGGCUCUGUGGAGCUUGGCUGGUUACGGGUGGACCCCCAGACUGGGGCUCUGGGUGGUGAUAGGGGGGCUGGAGAGGGGCGGAGGUGGCUGGGGCAAGCCCAGACUGGUGCUCUGGGUGGUGAUAGGGGGGCUGGAGAGGGGCGGAAGGUGGCUGGGGCAAGCCCAGUCUGGGGCUCUGGGUGGUGGUAGGGAGGCUGGAGAGGGGCGGAGGUGGCUACGGGUGGACCCCCAGACUGGGGCUCUGGGUGGUGAUAGGGGGGCUGGAGAGGGGCGGAGGUGGCUACGGGUGGACCCCCAGACUGGGGCUCUGGGUGGUGAUAGGGAGGCUGGAGAGGGGCGGAGGUGGCUACGGGUGGACCCCCAGACUGGGGCUCUGGGUGGUGGUAGGGGGGCUGGAGAGGGGCGGAGGUGGCUGGGGCAAGCCCAGACUGGGGCUCUGGGUGGUGGUAGAGGGGCUGGAGAGGGGCGGAGGUGGCUGGGGCAAGCCCAGACUGGGGCUCUGGGUGGUGGUAGAGGGACUGGAGAGGGGCGGAGGUGGCUGGGGCAAGCCCAGACUGGGGCUCUGGGUGGUGGUAGGGGGGCUGGAGAGGGGCGGAGGUGGCUGGGGCAAGCCCAGACUGGGGCUCUGGGUGGUGGUAGGGGGGCUGGAGAGGGGCGGAGGUGGCUGGGGCAAGCCCAGACUGGGGCUCUGGGUGGUGGUAGGGGGGCUGGAGAGGGGCGGAGGUGGCUGGGGCAAGCCCAGACUGGGGCUCUGGGUGGUGGU